CCAAUAAAUUUCAGAGUUGUUGAAAAUCAUAUACUAUGUAGGGCAGCACAAGGCUCUGCCCCAUGUUGCACGGUUCCUUCUUCCAGUGUUGGGGAAGUUGGGCCUUGUAUCUGUGCUUGCAUAGUCCUACAAUGUCUCAGAGUCCUUCGAAAAUGACUGAAGACAAAAAAAAGUAAGAAAGUAUG
rnacentral:snoRNA from 1 species